GAUGAACGCUGGCGGCGUGCCUAAUACAUGCAAGUCGAGCGAACGGACGAGAAGCUUGCUUUUCUGAUGUUAGCGGCGGACGGGUGAGUAACACGUGGAUAACCUACCUAUAAGACUGGGAUAACUUCGGGAAACCGGAGCUAAUACCGGAUAAUAUUUUGAACCGCAUGGUUCAUAAGUGAAAGACGGUCUUGCUGUCACUUAUAGAUGGAUCCGCGCUGCAUUAGCUAGUUGGUAAGGUAACGGCUUACCAAGGCAACGAUGCAUAGCCGACCUGAGAGGGGGAUCGGCCACCUGGGAACGAGAACACGGCCCAAACCCCUAGGGGGGGCAGAAGUGGGAAAUUUGCAGCAAGGGGGAAAAGCCGAACGGGGCAACGCGGGGGAGGUAAGAAAGUGUUUGGGGUGGAAAACCCUUGUUUUUGGGAAAAAAAAAAUGUGUAAAUAACUGGGAACAUUUUGAGGGUCCCAAAUCAGAAACCCAGGCCAAACUAGGG
rnacentral:rRNA from 1 species